rnacentral:rRNA from 1 species
AGCUUGCUCCUUUGACGUUAGCGGCGGACGGGUGAGUGACCCGUGGGUAACCUACCUAUCACACUGGCAUGACUUCUGGAAACCGGAUCUAAUACCGGAUAAUAUUUCGAACCGCAUGGUACGAUAGUGAAAGAUGGCUCUGCUAUCGCUUAUAGAUGGACCUGCGCCGGAUUACCUACCUGGGAACGCAACGGCUUACCAAGGCAACGAUCCCUAACCGACCUGACAGGGUGAUCGGCCACCCUGGAACUGAUACUCCGUCCAAACUCCUACGGCAGGCAGCAGUACGGAAUCUUCCCCGAUGGGCGAAAGCCUGACGGAUCGACGCCGCGUGAGUGAUGAAGGUCUUCCCAUCGUAAAACUCUGUUAUUACGGAAGAACAAACGCGUAAGUAACUGUGCGCGUCUUGACGGUACCUAAUCAAAAAGCCUCGGCUAACUACGUGCCAGCAGCCGCGGUAAUACCUACGUGGUAAGCGUUAUCCGGAAUUAUUGGGCGUAAAGCGCGCGUAUGCCUUUUUUUAACUCUGAUGUGAAAGCCCACGGCUCAACCAUGAAUGGUCAUUGUAAACUGGACAACUUGAGUGCAUAACAGGAAAGUGGAAUUCCAUGUGUACCGGGGAAAUGAGCAGAGAUAUGGAUGAACACCAGAUGCCGAAGGUUACUUUCUGGUCUGUAACUGACGCUGAUGUGCGAUAGCGUGGGGAUCAAACAUGAUUAGAUACCGCAGUAGUGCAUGCUGUAAACGAUGAGUGCAUAAGUGUUAGGGGGUCUCGGCCCCUUAGUGCNUCAGCUAACGCAUUAAGCACUAGGCUCUGGGGAGUACGACCGCAAGGAUGAAACUCAAAGGAAUUGACGGGGACCCGCACAAGCGGUGGAGCAUGUGGUUUAAUUAGAAGCAACGAGAAGAGCCUUAUCAAAUCUUGACAUCCUGUGAGCAUUGUAGAGAUAGAAGUUUACCCUUAGGGGGACAAAGUGACAGGAGGUGCAUGGUUGUUGUCAGCUCGAGUAGUGAGAUGUUGGGUUAAGUCGGGCAUCGAGCGCAACCCUUAAGGUUAG